ACGGGUGCGUAACACGUGGGCAAUCUGCCCUCGGAUGGGGGAUAACCCCGCGAAAGCGGGGCUAAUACCGCAUGACAUUCCCAGGACUCCGGUCCAGGGGCUCAAAGGCCGCAAGGCCGUCUGAGGAGGAGCCCGCGCCCGAUUAGCUAGUUGGUGAGGUAACGGCUCACCAAGGCUUUGAUCGGUAGCCGGUCUGAGAGGAUGGCCGGCCACACUGGAACUGAGACACGGUCCAGACUCCUACGGGAGGCAGCAGUGGGGAAUAUUGCGCAAUGGGCGAAAGCCUGACGCAGCGACGCCGCGUGGGGGAUGAAGCUUCUCGGAGUGUAAACCCCUUUCGACCCGGACGAAUGACCCGCAAGGGUUUGACGGUACGGGUAUAAGAAGCCCCGGCUAACUACGUGCCAGCAGCCGCGG
rnacentral:rRNA from 1 species